AGAGACAGCAGCAGCCACGGUAAUACAAAGGAUGCAAGCGUUAUCCGGAAUGAUUGGGCGUAAAGCGUCUGUAGGUGGCUUUUCAAGUCCACCGUCAAAUCCCAGGGCUCAACCCUGGACAGGCGGUGGAAACUACCAAGCUAGAGUAUGGUAGGGGCAGAGGGAAUCUCCGGUGGAGCGGUGAAAUGCGUUGAGAUUGGAAAGAACACCAACGGCGAAAGCACUCUGUUGAGCCGACACUGACAUUGAGAGACGAAAUCUAGGGGAGCAAAUGGGAUUAGAUACCCCGGUAGUCCCUGUCUCUUAUAC
rnacentral:rRNA from 1 species